GUCAGAAUGGCCGAGCGCUCUAAGGCGCCAGACUCAAGUUCUGGUCCGUGGAUGUGGGUUCGAAUCCCACUUCUGACA